rnacentral:rRNA from 1 species
UUAGUGGCGAACGGGUGAGUAACACGUGGGCAAUCUGCCCUGCGCUCUGGGACAAGCCCUGGAAACGGGGUCUAAUACCGGAUAUGACACACGACCGCAUGGUCUGUGUGUGGAAAGCUCCGGCGGUGCAGGAUGAGCCCGCGGCCUAUCAGCUUGUUGGUGGGGUAAUGGCCUACCAAGGCGACGACGGGUAGCCGGCCUGAGAGGGCGACCGGCCACACUGGGACUGAGACACGGCCCAGACUCCUACGGGAGGCAGCAGUGGGGAAUAUUGCACAAUGGGCGCAAGCCUGAUGCAGCGACGCCGCGUGAGGGAUGACGGCCUUCGGGUUGUAAACCUCUUUCAGCAGGGAAGAA